rnacentral:rRNA from 1 species
CACGUAGGGGGCGAGCGUUGUCCGGAUUUAUUGGGCGUAAAGAGCGCGUAGGCGGCCCGGUAAGUCCGCUGUGAAAGUCAAAGGCUCAACCUUUGAAUGUCAGCGGAUACUGCCGGGCUAGAGUCCGGAAGAGGCGAGUGGAACUCCUGGUGUAGCGGUGGAAUGCGCAGAUAUCAGGAAGAACACCAACGGCGAAGGCAGCUCGCUGGGACGGAACUGACGCUGAGGCGCGAAAGCGUGGGGAGCGAACAGG